GACGAACGCUGGCGGCGUGCUUAACACAUGCAAGUCGUACGGUAAGGCCCUUUCGGGGGUACACGAGUGGAGAACGGGCGAGUAACACGUGAGUAACCUGCCCACAACUUUGGGAUAACGCUAGGAAACUGGUGCUAAUACUGGAUAUGUGCUCCUGCUGCAUGGUGGGGGUCGGAAAGCUCCGGCGGUUGUGGAUGGACUCUCGGCCUAUCAGCUUGUUGGUGGGGUAGUGGCCUACCAAGGCGGCGACGGGUAGCCGGCCUGAGAGGGUGACCGGCCACAUUGGGACUGAGAUACGGCACAGACUCCUACGGGGGGCAGCAGUGGGGAAUAUUGCACAAUGGGCGCAAGCCUGAUGCAGCAACGCCGCGUGCGGGAUGACGGCCUUCGGGUUGUAAACCGCUUUCAGCAGGGACGAAGCUUUUUGUGACGGUACCUGCAGAAGAAGCAGCGGCUAACUACGU
rnacentral:rRNA from 1 species